rnacentral:lncRNA from 1 species
ACCGGAGACUGGGUGCAUAUUCACCUGCUGAGCAUCGUCCUCCUGCCCCCUCACGAUGUCCCUCCCAGACCUGGAAAUGCAGGGACCCUGGGGCGUAAACGCCACUGAGGAGCUUACGAUGAAACCAACACCUUUGUGCUUCAGGAAGACGCGGGCCCUAGAGCAGAAAUAACCGAAGCCCCACGUUCCAGUCGCGGGAUGCGUGAUGCGGGAGGGAGAUGGAUGGACUGAGCCAGAUGGACAAGGGUUUUCAGACUUGCCAGGUUUAUUUUGCCCUCAGCACCCAGCAUCCUUCCCUGAGCGGCCGGAGAGAACGGCGGGGGAUGCGGAUGAGGCACCCAGGCUUCAGUGUAAAGGUUCGACCACUUCCCGGAGCCUCGGUUCACCGUGUUGGUGGUUCCAGAACCAUCUCCUGGCUCCCACUCCCCUGCCCCUUGCCCUACAGCACCCACAGGCGCACCCUUGCUGCUGAGGAGCCUGGGCCGUCCGUGCUCUUCCGCAAAGCCUGCGUUCACCAGACGCCAACUUCGCGGCAGAAUCCCGGAGCCUGACUGUGGACCAGGCACAGAAACCCCGGAUGUCGUCCUUCCCUCUGGGCGCCGGGCCGGGGCCUCAGGUGCAUGUGCACACUCGCUGGGAAGCUGCUGAAGGGCGGUUUCUCCGCUCAGAACUCGAGGAAACGCCCGGCCCUGUGGCGGCAGAAGCACCGGCCGCCCCGGCCCUCCCGCUGCCCGGCUGGGCCGCUGCUGUCCCCCGUCCCCGGGAAGGUCUGUCCCGAGGCGGAGCCGGUGUGGCGGGUUACUGCUUUCGUGAGAUGCUCCGAGACAGCCACGGCCAAAGGCAAAAUACAUGGGAAAGGCUGCGGACUCCGCCGCACCCGCGGCCUUUGGGAGAUAACGUGGCGAAAGAGCAUUUUUUAAAAAACCCCCUGGCAACUUUUUUUUCCGGCAUUUUUAACCCCGGUGCUUUCUGAGGCGAUAUCGAUUAACAACCAGCAGAGGCAGAGCCUCGGAAGACACGCGCUGGAAGGCGCUGCCGGCGACCAGGCGCGGCAGGUGGCGGAGGCGGGAAGGAGGAAGCGGUUCUGGGGGCGCGUCCCUCGCAGGGGUUGCAGCACGUGCCAGGUGGGGGGAACCCACGUGGGACAGGAAACCCCAGGUCCUGAAAAGGUGGCACCGCCUCCUGACAGAACCCGAGCAGCCGUCAAGGGUAACUGGUGCCGCGUGGGGCAGGUGGCUCCGUUUGACAAGAGCUAAGAUGGCUGAGAAGACCAAGAAAAUCCCAAAUCGAAAGAAACAGGACCACCGUCCACGAAGACAUUAGCUGCCUCUUCACACAGACAAGAGGUGAACUCUUUCGGGGCGGCCCCUCGGCCCCUCGGUCUAUCCCUCGAAGCUCCUUUCGCGUUCUCACCACCAUCCAGACAAACUCCCCGUCUGGACCCCGAGAACUCCCAGGCCGCGGUGUUUCCAGCAAGUGCAGGGUGGGGCGCGGGAUAGACGCCACGGUGUGUGUCUGCGGCGCACAAUUUGCUGUUCCAACCCGCCGACGUGUCCCUUGCAUCUGCCACCACAAAGUCAUGACCGUACCCACCCCUCCCGAAAUAUGCUGGCAUUCCGGCAAUUUCUCCUCCCCUACCCCCCUCUCCCGCUGCUGGUCCUGAGGAAACCGCGGGUCUGUUUCUGUGGCUGAAACAUCGUUUGCAUUUUGUGCGGAGUUGCGUCCUAGGGACUCUCGGUCGGACUUCUUCCACUGGUUUUCAGCAUGAUAAUUUGGAGAUUCAUCAGCGCGGCAGCACGCGUUCAUACCUGGUUUUACUUCCGGUGAGCGUGCCAUGGGGAGGUUAUCCGUUCCUCUGUCGGCGACACCGAGGCUGUUUCCAGUACUUGGCUUUUACAAAUAGGGUUGCUAUGAACAGGUGUAUGCAGGGCUUUGACCAGGUACACGUCUUCGUUUCACUGGGUUAAACGCCUAGGAUGAAAAACACAGCAGGUUUUGCAUGUAUUCGUCUUUAAGAAACUUGCAGGCUGUGUUCCAGAGGAACAGCUACUUGAGUGCCCACCAGCACACGGAAGAGUUCCAGUCGCUUCACCGCCUCACCCACACUGGGUGUGGUGGGUCUGUUGGGCGUGAGCACUGUCUAGGGUGGGGUGUGCGCUCCCCGUAGUUUUCGCCUGUGUUUGCCGUGACGACCAAUGCCACCGACACCCUAAUUUGAAAGACCUGUGCUGUCUUUGGGGAAGUGUCUGCUCAGCCACCUGGUCUACUUUCAGCUGGCUCUUUCUCUCCCGACUAAUGGGUGUUCAGUGGCCUGUCUGUUCUGAGUACGGUCCUGGUGAGAUGCAGGCUUUUGAGGUGUCUUCUGCCGCUCUUCCACCCCCUUGACGUUUUCCUUCAAAGGCUUCUCCCUCGGCUCAGUUCUGCGGCGGUGACGUCCAGGAGGCCGCAUGCAGACCCCAGGUCAGCCAGGUGCCACUCUCUCCCGGCUUUCUGAGGUUCGGAGCCUCCAGGGGGCCUUGCAGCUCUGUGCACGUGAGGGUGACAGCCUGGGUCCCCUCGCUCAGCAGAGGGGAAAACGCCGAAGUGCUGGGAGAGGAGAAGCAACGCUGAGUGACUGAGGGAGCCAGGGUUUGCAGCAAUGGGAACUGUCAGGAAUGUGCUCUCUUAAUGCAGAAGUGGAAUCGAUCCCGGGCCUGGCCCGCAGCAGGCAAAGAGGCCUCCUUCCUGGAGGGGCACGGGAGCGCGAGCGAGGCCAAGGCGGUGCAGGUGGGAGGGUGGGCUCACCGGGACAUCUGCACUCGGAGUCCCCGGAGCCCUCCGGGUGCUAGGGCGAGUUCAGGGGUCUCUCCCCGUCCCUCGCUGACCCCCAGGAGCCCUUCCAGAGCCGCAGGCUCCCAUCCAAGGGGAAGCGCUUCCUAGACGAAAACGACUCUCCCAUAGAGCGCGCGUUCCAAAGUGGUCAUUAGAGAGCAUGGAAAACUCCUCCUGGAAAGAGCUGGAAAGUUCUCAUGGAAACUAAGUUGGACUCGCACAUUGGAAAUCAGUCACCUGCGAUAUUUAAAAAUGAAGCUAAGCUGUCUGAGUGUACAUUUCAGAAAUGCAGCUGGAGCUGCCCAAUAAAAAUAUUUAAAACAU